GGAUUUAUUGGGCGUAAAGCGAGCGCAGGCGGAAAAAUAAGUCUAAUGUGAAAGCCCUCGGCUUAACCGAGGAACUGCAUCGGAAACUGUUUUUCUUGAGUGCAGAAGAGGAGAGUGGAACUCCAUGUGUAGCGGUGGAAUGCGUAGAUAUAUGGAAGAACACCAGUGGCGAAGGCGGCUCUCUGGUCUGCAACUGACGCUGAGGCUCGAAAGCAUGGGUAGCGAACAGGAUUAGAUACCCUGGUAGUCCAUGCCGUAAACGAUGAGUGCUAAGUGUUGGGAGGUUUCCGCCUCUCAGUGCUGCAGCUAACGCAUUAAGCACUCCGCCUGGGGAGUACGACCGCAAGGUUGAAACUCAAAGGAAUUGACGGGGGCCCGCACAAGCGGUGGAGCAUGUGGUUUAAUUCGACGCAACGCGAAGAACCUUACCAGGUCUUGACAUCUAGUGCAAUCUGUAGAGAUACGGAGUUCCCUUCGGGGACGCUAAGACAGGUGGUGCAUGGCUGUCGUCAGCUCGUGUCGUGAGAUGUUGGGUUAAGUCCCGCAACGAGCGCAACCCUUGUUAUUAGUUGCCAGCAUUAAGUUGGGCACUCUAAUGAGACUGCCGGUGACAAACCGGAGCGAAGGUGGGGAUGACGUCAAGUCAUCAUGCCCCUUAUGACCUGGGCUACACACGUGCUACAAUGGGCAGUACAACGAGAAGCAAGCCUGCGAAGGCAAGCGAAUCUCUGAAAGCUGUUCUCAGCUCGGACUGCAGUCUGCAACUCGACUGCACGAAGCUGGAAU
rnacentral:rRNA from 1 species